UCCUCUGUGUUGCAGGCUGGAGGCGGUCCACUGCGGCUGCUAUCCUGUCUGUCCCAAGGCGCUGGUCUAUCCAGAGAUAUUCCCAGCAGAGUACCUGUACUCCACCCCAGAGCAGCUGUGUAAGCGGCUGCAGGAACUCUGCAGGAGGCCCGACAUCGCCCGGAGACACGUCGUCAAGGUGGACGUCUCCCGCUUCUCCUGGGCGUCUCUGAAGGACAGUUUUGAGACUCUGCUGUUGGCCGACUGUCCCUAAACGCACAGGCUGUCCCUGAACGCACCGUGCUCCCUGAAGGAGGCGUUAUUAUGACCCACGC